GCAUAUCAAUAAGCGGAGGAAAAGAAACCAACAGGGAUUGCCCUAGUAACGGCGAGUGAAGCGGCAACAGCUCAAAUUUGAAAUCUGGCGUCUUUGGCGUCCGAGUUGUAAUUUGCAGAGGGCGCUUUGGCAUUGGCAGCGGUCCAAGUUCCUUGGAACAGGACGUCACAGAGGGUGAGAAUCCCGUACGUGGUCGCUAGCCUUUACCGUGUAAAGCCCCUUCGACGAGUCGAGUUGUUUGGGAAUGCAGCUCUAAAUGGGAGGUAAAUUUCUUCUAAAGCUAAAUACUGGCCAGAGACCGAUAGCGCACAAGUAGAGUGAUCGAAAGAUGAAAAGCACUUUGGAAAGAGAGUUAAAAAGCACGUGAAAUUGUUGAAAGGGAAGCGCUUGCAGCCAGACUUGCCUGUAGUUGCUCAUCCGGGUUUUUACCCGGUGCACUCUUCUACGGGCAGGCCAGCAUCAGUUUGGGCGGUUGGAUAAAGGUCUCUGUCAUGUACCUCUCUUCGGGGAGAACUUAUAGGGGAGACGACAUGCAACCAGCCUGGACUGAGGUCCGCGCAUCUGCUAGGAUGCUGGCGUAAUGGCUGUAAGCGGCCCGUCUUGAAACACGGACCAAGGAGUCUAACAUCUAUGCGAGUGUUUGGGUGUCAAGCCCGAGCGCGUAAUGAAAGUGAACGGAGGUGGGAACCUUUCGGGGUGCACCAUCGACCGAUCCUGAUGUCUUCGGAUGGAUUUGAGUAAGAGCAUAGCUGUUGGGACCCGAAAGAUGGUGAACUAUGCUUGAAUAGGGUGAAGCCAGAGGAAACUCUGGUGGAGGCUCGCAGCGGUUCUGACGUGCAAAUCGAUCGUCAAAUUUGGGCAUAGGGGCGAAAGACUAAUCGAACUAUCUAGUAGCUGGUUCCUGCCGAAGUU
rnacentral:rRNA from 1 species